GAUGAACGCUGGCGGCGUGCCUAAUACAUGCAAGUCGAGCGAACAGACGAGGAGCUUGCUUCUCUGAUGUUAGCGGCGGACGGGUGAGUAACACGUGGAUAACCUACCUAUAAGACUGGGAUAACUUCGGGAAACCGUAGCUAAUACCGGAUAAUAUUUUGAACCGCAUGGUUCAACAGUGAAAGACGGUCUUGCUGUCACUUAUAGAUGGAUCCGCGCUGCAUUAGCUAGUUGGUAAGGUAACGGCUUACCAAGGCAACGAUGCAUAGCCGACCUGAGAGGGUGAUCGGCCACACUGGAACUGAGACACGGUCCAGACUCCUACGGGAGGCAGCAGUAGGGAAUCUUCCGCAAUGGGCGAAAGCCUGACGGAGCAACGCCGCGUGAGUGAUGAAGGUCUUCGGAUCGUAAAACUCUGUUAUUAGGGAAGAACAUAUGUGUAAGUAACUGUGCACAUCUUGACGGUACCUAAUCAGAAAGCCACGGCUAACUACGUG
rnacentral:rRNA from 1 species